rnacentral:rRNA from 1 species
UACAGAGGGGGCAAGCGUUGUUCGGAAUUACUGGGCGUAAAGGGCGCGUAGGCGGCCUCUUAAGUCGAACGUGAAAUCCCCGGGCUCAACCCGGGAACUGCGUCCGAUACUGGGAGGCUUGAAUCCGGGAGAGGGAUGUGGAAUUCCAGGUGUAGCGGUGAAAUGCGUAGAUAUCUGGAGGAACACCGGUGGCGAAGGCGGCAUCCUGGACCGGUAUUGACGCUGAGGCGCGAAAGCGUGGGGAGCAAACAGGG